UACGGAGGGUGCGAGCGUUGUCCGGAAUCACUGGGCGUAAAGAGCGCGCAGGCGGUCGAUCAAGUCGAGUGUGAAAGCCCCCGGCUCAACUGGGGAGGGUCAUUCGAUACUGAUCGACUCGAAGGCAGGAGAGGGUAGUGGAAUUCCCGGUGUAGUGGUGAAAUGCGUAGAUAUCGGGAGGAACACCAGUGGCGAAGGCGACUACCUGGCCUGUUCUUGACGCUGAGGCGCGAAAGCUAGGGGAGCAAACGGG
rnacentral:rRNA from 1 species